rnacentral:rRNA from 2 species
GGAAAUAGCCCAGCACUGAAUCCCGCGGUUGUCACGGCCGCGGGAGAUGUGGUGUUCGGGAGGUUCCGCUUUCUCGUCGUCGCGUCUCCUGUCCAAGUUCGUCUUGAACGGGGCCGUUUUCCCGUAGAGGGUGCCAGGCCCGUAGCGACGGAGGGCGGCGGCGAGAGGGACUCUCCUCAGAGUCGGGUUGCUUGAGAGUGCAGCCCUAAGUGGGUGGUAAACUCCAUCUAAGGCUAAAUAUUACCGCGAGACCGAUAGCGAACAAGUACCG